rnacentral:rRNA from 1 species
AUGGCCUACGGGAGGCAGCAGUGGGGAAUAUUGCACAAUGGGGGAAACCCUGAUGCAGCAACGCCGCGUGAGUGAGGAAGGAUUUCGGAAUGUAAAGCUCUAUCAGCAGGGAAUAGAAAAGAAGGUACCUGAAAAAGAAGCCCCGGCUAACUACGUGCCAGCAGCCGCGGUAAUACGUAGGGGGCAAGCGUUAUCCGGAUUUACUGGGCGGAAAGGGAGCGGAGACGGAAAGGCAAGU